rfam:Pedobacter sp. AJM contig06, whole genome shotgun sequence.
AAGGCGUAAACCGAAAAGCCUUAAAUGAGUAGGUA